UAAACAUCAUCUAUAGUCUGCAUGCUGAAAGGCAAAAUUGUGGGUCUGGAAUGUUUGGACUAACGAGUUUUACCACACACCUCUCACAGUAAAUGCUAAUUAAAGCACAAUGGGGCCUCAAGGCCACUUAGCAGGAAAGUGUAAGGCCUCACCAGGUUGAUUUUACAGCGGCAUUUGGUAAUUUGAUGAAAAUCACAGGCAUGUGACCCGCAGUUAAACAACGCAGAACACGUUCAAGUGCCAGCAAUCCCGGUUCACUUCCUGCUCCUCUGUGUGAAGAUAAUGGUCGUUCUCCCCGUGACCGUGUGAGUUCCCUCCAGAUCCUUUGCACAUUCCGACGCUGUACAGGUUAAGCUUUGUUUUGGGACUCUGAUCUCGGUCAUAUUGGGGUUAGGCCUCUCC